UACGUAGGGUGCGAGCGUUAAUCGGAAUUACUGGGCGUAAAGCGUGCGCAGGCGGUUCUGAAAGUCAGGUGUGAAAGCCCCGGGCUUAACCUGGGAAUUGCGGUUGAAACUACAGGGCUAGAAUCUGGCAGAGGGGGGUGGAAUUCCACGUGUAGCAGUGAAAUGCGUAGAGAUGUGGAGGAACACCGAUGGCGAAGGCAGCCCCCUGGGCUGAGAUUGACGCUCAGGCACGAAAGCGUGGGGAGCAAACAGG
rnacentral:rRNA from 1 species